AUGCAACAUGCUACAAGUAUAAGUGCUGAGGAGCAGAGGAUUGCAGCCCUGAGGAGCGGUAUGGGAGUGCCUGAAGAAAGUGGAGGAGGAGUGCUGGAGCCACUGCGCUUCACCUGUCGGUUCCUGUUUGGUGCUCUGACCACCUUUCUGUCUUUCUUCACCUGGACUAACCUGAAAACAACGUACCAGGCGUUUAAAAGGAUGACAUGGCCCCAGGUUGUCUGGACCCUCAUCAAACUCUGUGUCAAACUGAUCUUCACCCUCAUCACAUUUAUAUUCCAUGUCUUCUGGACUUUAUUGAAGUUUGUUGUGAACAUGAUGAAGGGUGAACAUGAUAAAGAGUCUGUUGAAAAGCCAGAAGUCCUAGCUCUUCCAGCACCCUCCUUCUCAGAUGACUCUAAGCCUCCACCAGUGCAGAAUGGAACUCCAGCUGUUCCAACAGAAGACGAAAUCACGUCACCCACCUCCAUACCGACUGAGACAGGGGCAGAAUGUCCAGUCACAAGUAUACCAACAGAGGAACCCUCCGAGGUCCCCCCACCGGAUGAAGAAUUUCUGGGACCUCCUAUUCCACCUCCUAGGACCUCAGCUGAAAGCAAAUCAAAACCAAGCGAAGAAGAUGUUCCAUAUGAGACAAAAGGAUUUGACUAUGGAAAAUAUGCUCUGAGCCUGUUUGCCCGGAACUUCUACAACUUUAAGUACGUUGCCCUGUUCCUCGCCUUCAUCAUCAACUUCAUGCUGCUCUUCUACAAGGUAAACAAAGUGAGACAUGAACCGGCGCAGCAGGAGUCCAAUGGGAACAUGACAGAGGAGGAGGAGUUUGACGAGAUAGUGACCAUGCAGGGAGACAACAACUACAUGGAGAUCUUCGUCCGCCUCCUAGCGAUUGGCCAUACUCUGGUCUCAUUCUCCAUGCUGAUAGCCUACUACUGCCUCAAAGUGCCUCUAGUCAUAUUCAAGAGGGAGAAAGAGAUUGCUAGGAAGUUAGAGUUUGAGGGAUUAUGGGUAGCAGAACAGCCAGACGAGGACCUCAAAGGUCACUGGGAUAAACUGGUUCUGAGUACACAGUCGUUCCCAGACAGCUACUGGGAUAAGUUUGUCAAGAAGAAGGUACGAGCCAGAUAUGCUGAGCAGUAUGACUAUGAGGCCAUAAGUAACCUACUGGGAAUGGACAAGGGAGAUUCAAUAAAGAUUGAAGAAACAAAAUCCACAGGAUUCUUCCCUAGUUUCUUGUUUAAUGUGGACUGGCAAUAUCAGAUUUGGAAAUGGGGUGUCAUUUUCACAGACAAUUCUUUCCUGUACAUUGCCUGGUACUUUAUCUUUUCUGCCAUGGGGAAUUUCAACUACUUUUUCUUUGCUGCUCAUUUAUUGGAUGUUGCAAUUGGUUUCAAGACGUUAAGAACCAUUUUACAGUCCGUAACCCAUAAUGGAAAACAGUUGGUGCUGACAGUGAUGUUGACCAGUGUGGUGGUCUAUAUCUACACAGUGAUAGCCUUCAACUUCUUCCGCAAGUUCUACGUCAAAGAGGAGGACGGGUCUGUUGACUACAAGUGCCAUGACAUGCUGACCUGCUUUGUGUAUCACUUGCACACUGGAGUAAGAGCAGGAGGAGGAAUCGGUGAUGAGAUAGAGCCAGCAGACGGCGAUCCGUCAGAGGUCUACAGGAUCCUGUUUGACAUCACUUUCUUCUUCUUUGUCAUCGUUAUCCUCCUGGCCAUUAUUCAAGGUUUGAUCAUUGAUGCCUUUGGAGAAUUGAGAGAUCAACUGGAACAAGUCAAGGAGGACAUGGAGUCCAAGUGUUUCAUUUGUGGAAUUGGGAAAGAAUAUUUCGAUAAAGUACCACAUGGUUUUGAAACCCAUGUCAUGAAGGAACAUAAUUUUGCAAAUUACAUGUUUUUCCUGAUGCACUUGAUCAACAAGCCAGACACAGAGUAUACAGGCCAGGAGUCGUAUGUGUGGGAGCUCUACCAGCAGCGCUGCUGGGACUUCUUCCCAGUUGGAGACUGCUUCAGGAAACAGUACGAGGAUGAGGGAGACAAGAGCUGAUUAGUGGACUCCUGCCACACCCACAGGGAGGCUUACACCCAGAGCGAGGCUUAACCUGGAUUUAUGCAAACAUUUUGUUUUUUUAAAUGAACUCAGUCUGGAAAAAUUGUGCAUGAAAUAUUUUGUGAUCUUUUAUUGUCUCCAGCACCUUUUAUUGCUUUUUCCUGUUAAUAUACAGUAUUAGUUGUCACCAGAAACAGCCUGGGAAUAUAUAUAUUUUUUGCUAGACUUUGCAUAUCCAACGCUUACCAAAUAUUAAUUUAAAAAUUGUUUGACGGAAGGAAUCAGAUAAUCUGGAAAAGAAGAUUGAUAGAGCUUGUGUAUUUAUUUGAAGAAAUGCCUGUUUUAUGGCUAAGAUUGUUGCGUCAUUGUGUGAGGAGGAUAUCAGUUUUGUGUGAUCUAGUUAUUUAGUUUCUUGUUGAAGUUUUGAGCCUUUUGAUAUAAAUCGUCAUGUUGAAUUGUAUUAACCAAUUGUGUGAGUGUAAUGUGAUGAAGUGCAAUAUUUUCCUUUGUUCUGUUUUGAAUUUUGUAGUUUUUUGUCUCAUAUAUCAUAACAUUACAAAUCUUUGCCAUGUUGUUUUUUUUAUGUGCAAUAUUAGUGUCCUGAAUAAGGUUUGUUAUGUAUUAGGUAUGGUUUACAACACCCACUUUAAUUUUAUCUAUUUAAUUAAUAAAAAAGUGUUGAAAAUG
rnacentral:misc_RNA from 1 species